AGCGAGAGAGCGGACUUACACAAACAGAACCGUGAACAUGGUAUCCAUUUCUGCCGGGCUCCUGCCCGUGCAAGGCCACCGACCUUCGUACCGAGGGAAAGGGGCCACAAAAGAACCCAGGGCACCGAAGGUGCCAAGGAACACUGAUAUUGCCUUGCACGGGGCUGUGGUUGGCUUGCCGAUCACAUCUCGUGCAGCGAUGCUAUCUUAAUCCACACGACUCUCGGCAACGGAUAUCUCGGCUCUCGCAUCGAUGAAGAACGUAGCAAAAUGCGAUACCUGGUGUGAAUUGCAGAAUCCCGCGAACCAUCGAGUUUUUGAACGCAAGUUGCGCCCGAGGCCUUCUGGCCGAGGGCACGCCUGCCUGGGCGUCACGCCAAAAGACACUCCCAACCCCAUCCUAGGGUUGGGACGUGGUGUUUGGCUCCUCGUGCGGCAAAGCGCGGUGGGCCGAAGUUGGGGCUGCCGGCAUACCUUGCCGGGCACCGCACGUGGUGGGCGACAUCUUAGUUGUUCUCGGUGUAGUGUCCCGGCUUGAAGCUGGCAUGAUGGCCUUCAAGGACCCCUUUGUGACCGAAGCGUUUCGUCGCUCGUACUGCCACCCCAGGUCAGACAGGACUACCCGCUGAGUUUAAUCAUA
rnacentral:rRNA from 1 species